CACGGGGGGAGCAAGCGUUGUUCGGAAUCACUGGGCGUAAAGGGCGUGUAGGCGGCUAGGUUAGUGGGAUGUGAAAUGCCUCGGCUCACCCGAGGACCGGCAUCCCAAACUGCCUGGCUUGAGUAUGGGAGAGGAUGUGGGAAUUCCUGGUGUAGCGGUGAAAUGCGUAGAUAUCAGGAGGAACACCGGUGGCGAAGGCGCACAUCUGGCCCAAUACUGACGCUGAUGCGCGAAAGCUAGGGGAGCAAACGGG
rnacentral:rRNA from 1 species